GCAUCCACAAGGGUUAAGUUACUGUUGGGAACUGUUGGAAAAUUAAACGAUGAAAUCCUUCACUCUGCUCGUGUUGGUCGUGUGUUUGAUAGCCUCUGUACAAAUUGCCAUGGCUGGGCAUGGCUUUUACUGUGUGUAUCACAACGACAAAACAUGCAGUGAUUACUGCCAGAACGAGCUCAGCUGUAGAGGGGGAUAUUGUGGGUAGGCCUGGUGUGUUUGCAAGUGUGUCGGUUGUUAAAAAAAACUGAGCAGGAAAAACGGAAAAAGGACUACAUGACAUAUG